UGGGUGACCUGCCCUCAGCUCUGGGAUAAGCCUGGGAAACUGGCUCUAAUACUGGAUAUUCACUUCUCAUCGCAUGGUGGGUGGUGGAAAGUUUUUCGGCUGGGGAUGGGCCCGCGGCCUAUCAGCUUGUUGGUGAGGUAACGGCCCACCAAGGCGACGACGGGUAGCCGGCCUGAGAGGGCGACCGGCCACACUGGGACUGAGACACGGCCCAGACUCCUACGGGAG
rnacentral:rRNA from 1 species